rnacentral:snoRNA from 1 species
UGGUUAUGAUGAUAAAAAGGCCGGACUUACGGCUGCUACCAUUUGGUUGGUAGUAGAGUGAUGAAAGUUUAGGUAAGGUUUUUUUCUGAGCCAG